AAUAUUGCACAAUGGGCGCAAGCCUGACGCAGCAACGCCGCGUGGGGGAUGAAGGCUCUCGGGUUGUAAACCCCUUUCAGCAGGGACGAAUCAAGACGGUACCUGCAGAAGAAGCCCCGGCUAACUACGUGCCAGCAGCCGCGGUAACACGUAGGGGGCAAGCGUUGUCCGGAUUUAUUGGGCGUAAAGAGCUCGUAGGUGGCUGAGUAAGUCGGAUGUUAAAUCCCCAGGCUCAACCUGGGACACCACCCGAUACUGCUCUGGCUAGAGUCCGGUAGGGGAGCGUGGAAUUCCUGGUGUAGCGGUGAAAUGCGCAGAUAUCAGGAGGAACACCAGCGGCGAAGGCGGCGCUCUGGGCCGGUACUGACACUGAGGAGCGAAAGCGUGGGUAGCAAACA
rnacentral:rRNA from 1 species